GGCACCUUAGAGACUAACACAUUUAUUUGAGCAUAAGCUUUCAUGAGCAUAGCAGAGUGCUGUAUAGAAGACACAUUACUGGUGCUCAUUGUCAAAAUGUUGCCUCAAAGUUUCCCUGAUUUGAAUAGCCCCAUGUUGUGCCCCUCUAAUAGCCCUGGUAUCUGGCUGCUCAAAUUCAGCAG